UCAGCGUCUAAGGUAGGCUCCCACUAUAUUACCUUACUGAUGAGUCCAGUAGUGGAAGCCGGGACGAAACGCCAA
rnacentral:hammerhead_ribozyme from 15 species